UUAUUACUCCCUCCGUCCCAAAAUUCUUGUCUUAGAUUAGUCUAGAUACGGAUGUAUCUAAUACUAAAAUGCGACUUGAUACAUCCGUAUUUAGACAAAUCUAAGACAAGAAUUUUGGGACGGAGGGAGUAUGAA
rfam:Triticum aestivum genome assembly, contig: Triticum_aestivum_CS42_TGACv1_scaffold_321823_4BL